rnacentral:tRNA from 1 species
GGCCUGCUGGCCCAAUGGUAAGGCGCUUGACUACGAAUCAAGAGAUUGCAGGUUCGAGCCUUGCGUAGGUCA